rnacentral:rRNA from 1 species
AGAUUGAACGCUAGCGGCAUGCCUAACACAUGCAAGUCGAACGGUAACAGGCCCUUCGGGGUGCUGACGAGUGGCGGACGGGUGAGUAAUGCGUAGGAAUCUGUCCUGGAGAUGGGGAUAUCCUUCCGAAAGGAGGGUUAAUACCGAAUAUCGCCCGGGUGACGGGAGUCACUUGGGGAAAGGGAGGCCUCUGGCAACAUGCUUCCGCUCCGGGAGGAGCCCAUGGCCCAUCAGCUAGUUGGUAGGGUAACGGCCUACCAAGGCAAAGACGGGUAGCUGGUCUGAGAGGACGAUCAGCCACACUGGCACUGAGACACGGGCCAGACUCCUACGGGAGGCAGC